rnacentral:lncRNA from 1 species
AACUCAGAAGAAAAGGACCUGGAGGAAAGAGUAGAGAGGGAAAAUAAAACUGUGAGACCAAGCUAAAAUGUGAGUGAGAAGUAAAUGUGAUGACUAAGGGUAUGUAUUAAUUUCAGUAUGCAAAGUUUCAAACUGAAAACUAGUGGAUUGACAGUUCAGCAGUGAAAAAGGAGAAGGAAAAAAAUCUUGAUGAACAGACUGUCUGAUGCAUGUAUGCUGCAUCUUAUAUAAUGAAAACCAUUAGAAAGAAUUUUGGAAUGAAGAGAAAUCAAUUGCUUGUGAUGAAAGCAUGGGCAAGAAUAGCUUGUCUUGACUGAAUGGAGUGCCUUGAAAAUAUUUUUUUUAUUAGAACCUGACUGAGUGAUGACAACACUAUGUCAAACAGAAAAAAGUUUCAUUACUCUUGAGGAACUGAACAAAAUCUAUUAGACACAAUCUUCCAAGAAAAAAUUACUUUCUGAUGGAUUUCCCACAAACAUUUUCAAGGAGCCACAUAUAGAUUUUUAAUCAACAGACAUAUUUUCAUAAAUUUUGAGCAACUGAAUAGCUGCCUCUUAACAAUAUAAAUGUACUCUAAUAUGUAAUAUUGGAAUCUGGAAUUACUUUUCCUUAGUGAAGUAUCAUAAACUUGAUAAUAUUUCUCUAUGCAAAAAUUUCAACUUCUUGCUUUUUGAUCAACAAUUAAAAACUAAAUUGAGUUUAGAAGGUGUGUAUAUAGGUAGUUUAUAGGUAGUUUUUAGGUAGAAAUUCAAAAACUGUAGACAAUUACACAUGCAUACAUUCAAUUCUUUUUAUUGCCAGUAACAUCUUCUGAUUGAUUUUUCCUCUCUCUCUCUCUUUCAAAGCAGAAGCAGGUCUGAGGCUGGUUUGUGCCUACAUGCAGUCCUGUGUAUUCCAUUCAACAACAUGUGCUUUUGGUGGUGGCCAAUAUUGACUGAAACAAGGUGGCUGAGAUCAAGAUUCCAUCACCUAUGUUUAUGUGUUGCUGUGCAGACAAUUGUAUGCGAGCUAAUUGUGUCUAGGCUCCUGCUGCAGUCCAACAGCAAUAGAGAGUUAACACAGCUAAUGUGUUAACAAGCAAAGAAGCAGAGAACUAUUCAAAUUUAAGUUAGGGUAAGAUUCCCCAUUGUCCACAGCUGACAAGAUCUGCACCUGUAACAAGCAGCUAGCUUGCUAAAACUUAUACUUUGUGUACCUAAACUUGCAUUUCUGGAUGUAGAGCUGAAUACCGCUCUAGGAGCCAGGCUCAUAGUUACCAGGGGACAAAGAUUCUCCUAGUGGUGCGUGCUUCAGUUGGUUGUGUAGACUGAUGUGGCACUUGUAGCCAUCUUUGCCCACUGGCCAGAGCAUUCAUUGCCAGAGGAAGUAAAACUCCAGAUGUUAGUCGC